CCGGUCCUAUUAGCUCCGCUUCGUUCAGCCUGCGCCGUCUCCGAGACUAGUUUGACCCUCGGGCGGCCGCCGUAGCGCGUCGCCUCCGUUGCUGUGAGAAACGACCCGGGACCUGCAAGGGAGGAAAGACGUUUCCCGCCGGCGGGAGCUGCAGUUGAAGUGGCCAGGGGAGCUCGGAGGCGGCGGGGCCCGGCGCAGCGGCACCAUGGCGGACCAGUUUUAUCUGGAAAAUAUAGACGAGUUCGUCACGGACCAGAACAAGAUAGUGACAUACAAAUGGCUGAGCUAUACACUAGGAGUUCAUGUUAAUCAGGCCAAACAGAUGCUGUAUGAUUAUGUUGAAAGGAAGCGAAAGGAAAAUUCAGGAGCCCAACUGCAUGUCACUUAUUUAGUGUCUGGCAGUCUCAUUCAGAAUGGACAUUCCUGCCACAAGGUUGCAGUAGUGAGAGAAGAUAAAUUGGAAGCAGUGAAGUCCAAGCUAGCUGUGACUGCCAGUGUACAUGUGUACAGCAUCCAGAAAGCCAUGCUAAAGGACAGUGGGCCUCUGUUCAAUACCGACUAUGACAUCCUUAAAAGCAACUUGCAGAACUGCAGCAAGUUUAGUGCCAUCCAGUGUGCAGCUGCCGUCCCUAGAGCUCCUGCUGAAUCCUCAUCUUUUGAAAAGUUUGAGCAGUCAGAUCUUCCGGUAUCACCUGAGCCACAAGCUAGUAAUGAGUUGACCACCAAUGGUCAUGGCCCACCUAUCCCCAAACAGAGUUCCCAGCAGCCCAAAGGAAUCAUGGGCAUGUUUGCUUCUAAAGCUGCUUCUAAAACCCAAGAUGCCAACAAGGAAACCAAAACAGAGGCUAAAGAAGUAACGAAUGCAUCUUCGGUAGGCAACAAGCCACCAGGGAAAGGGAAUGCGAUAAGCAAUUUUUUUGGAAAAGCUGCUAUGAAUAAAAUUAAAGUCAAUUUGGAUUCAGAACAAGCAGUGAAAGAAGAAAAAAAAGUGGAGCAACCUCCACUGUCUGUCACUGAACCAAAGCUGGCAGCCCCUGUGGGCCUGAAGAAAUCUAGCAAAAAAGCAGAGCCUGUUAAGAUGCAGCAGAAGGAAAAAAAAAGGAGGAAGCAAGUGGAGGUAUCUGAUGAUGAGACAAAAGAAACUGAAAACAUGAAGAAAAAGAGGAGAAGAAUCAAACUUCCUGAGUCUGAUAGCAGUGAAGAUGAAGUCAUACCAGAUUCUCCUGGGGCUCAUGAAGCUGAGUCACCAUCCCCACCUCCUCCUGCUUCUCCAUCUCCUGAACCAGUGCCGAAGACUGAGCCAGAGCCUCCUUCUGUCAAGGGCUCAAGUGGAGAAAACAAAAGAAAACGAAAACGUGUGCUAAAAUCUAAAGCCUUUGUGGACGAGGAGGGCUGCAUAGUAACUGAAAAGGUCUACGAGAGUGAAUCCUGCACAGAUAGUGAAGAAGAGCUUAAGAUGAAGACUUCCUCUGUACAUAGGCCUCCCACCAUGACUCUGAAAAAGGAACCCAAAGAGGAACGAAAGGGCCCAAAGAAAGGAACUGCUGCUCUGGGCAAAGCCAAUAGACAAGUGUCCAUUACUGGCUUCUUCCAGAGGAAGUGAACUGCCAUCUCUGUUAGGUCCAGAGAUGUGGAGUGGUCAAGGGACAAGACCAAGACAUACAGACUCUCACUUACUGUUGAUAACUUGGAAGCACCUUCCUUUAUGGCUGGACAGUGAGCUCAGGGGAUGGAGGUGGUGUGGCGGUGACCUUGCACAGUGAGCUCUGGGGAAAGGAACACAGGCUCAGCUGCUGGAGUGACUCAUGACUUAACAGACGAGGGACGUCUGACUUCUUGCUCCUUCUGCCUUCGCCUGGUGUAUGUCGUAAGUGAUGCAGUCAGCCGUCUACUGUUUAAGGUUAGGAUUGUGACUGACCUUAGAUUAAUAGGAGCUUCUUUAGCAACUGUCACCCAGGGCCCUCCAGCCAGGCACCCCAUGGACUUGAUUAAAACCAGAGGUUUGGGAGAUUAGUCCCAGCAUUGCAUUACGUCUACAACUUGAGAAGGCUGAGGCUUUGUGCAGCAAGCUGAGUAAAGGUUGACACAUUCCAAACUCCUUUCUUUUUUAAAUGUAAAAGGAUGGAGAGAAGGGUGGAAAGGCUGGAUUUAACUUUACAAAAAACUUCUGGAGAGGAAUCCCUUUUAAAUGGUUAUUUUCGCCAUUGCCUCUAGUCAUUUUUCUAAAUAGAAAUGGAAAAUUAAAGGAAAAAAAAGCAACAAUCCAGCCUUUUAAAAAAAAUUAUCAUGCUGGGAUCUCUAAUUAAAUCACAUUUUGAAUUGGAAAACUCUGGUGCUGGUGGAGUUCUGUCUUUGCAAGCAUAAUGCAAAUCCUGUGGUCACUGUGCCCAGUAUGCUGCCUACACUCUGAGCCGUCUGCAAGGCUUAUUGAGUAGUAAGUGCUGGCCGUUUCCUUUUUGUAAAAAAAAAAAAAAAACUCUACCAUGUUAUCCACAUGAGUUAAAUAAAUUUGAGAAGUUGUUUUAAAACAGUGCUUCAAACUGAUUGUCUGAUGAAUCUGUUACUUGACAGGAUGGCAACAGUGUAUGCAGUUAUUUAAACUCUGAACAGGAACAAGGCUGGUUUUCAGUUUAUAUUGUUAAAACUGCAUACCCAUAGUCUGAGAUGGACAAGUUAUUUGCUGUCUUCAUCAUUUUUUCAGUCCUGUGGGAAAUCUUAGAUUCAGCCAACCUCAUUUUUUAGUUCCUUUAGAAGAAAAUCUAGUCCUGAUCUUGCACAUUGUGUUAGUCUGGCUUCACCACUUGCUGGCUCUGUGACCUUGGGCAGAUUUCUAAACCUCAGAUUCUUUAUCAAAAUAGAGCUCAAACAAGUUACCAUGGGCCACCAAGAGUGAAGUAAUGUGUAUACAGAAUAAAUUCGGCACACGUAGGUGCUCUGCAAAUGAUGGCUUUCUUCUUGAUGUCAUAAAUGAUGCAGUCAGCCACCAACUUCCUGAAAUGUUAUCAAGGGUAUGACCCAGAUGUUACACUCUUUCAAAAUAUUCAUUCUGGCUGUCAGUGUGGUCAAAGAGGGAAGAUAGUUACCUUAUUUUAUGAAAGGUUUUAGAGAGUAUAUUUUCUUAUUGAGACAAAGUGAGAUUCGUAGAUGGCUAUAUUUACUAUUCAUUAAAACAUUUAUUGCGUAUCUCCUAUAUGUCACGCUUCUGUCCUGAGCACUAGAAGGUAGAAUCCUAGAAUUUGGCACUUGUCCUCAGGAACUAGUGGAAGGGACAAGAAAGUAAAGUGAAAUCAUAGCAUCACAUGGUGAGUGCAAUGAUAAAUAAGCGCAGGGUCCUCAGAGAGCUCAUAGGCGGGGGGGUGUUGAGGACAUCUUCCUGAAGGAGAGAAAGCCAAGCAGUUUUUCUGAAGGAUGAGUAGGAUUUUACCAAGCAAAGAGGAAUGGAAAGGAUUUUCCAGGUAGAGGAACGUGACUUUUGGGGAGAAAUGGACUAUUAGAAUUU